rnacentral:rRNA from 1 species
AUUGAACGCUGGCGGCAGGCCUAACACAUGCAAGUCGAGCGGCGGAGCAGAGGCGGGAGUAAUGCCUAGGAAUCUGGCUGGUCGCGGGGGAUAACGUUCGGAAACGGGAGCUGAUACCACAUACUAUCAGAUGAGGCUAGAUCGGAUUAGCAAGUGGGUGGGGUAAAGGCCUACCAAGGCGAAGAUCCGUAACUGGUCUGAGAGGAUGAUCAGUCACACUGGAACUGAGACACGGCCCAGACUCCUACGGGAGGCAGCAGUGGGGAAUAUUGGACAAUGGGCGAAAGCCUGAUGCAGCCAUGCCGCGUGUGUGAAGAAGGCCUUCGGGUUGUAAAGUACUUUAAGUUGGGAGGCGUUACCAGCAGAAUAAGCACCGGCUAACUUCGUGCCAGCAGCCGCGGUAAUUC